rnacentral:lncRNA from 1 species
CAAACUUGGCCACAAUCAUUAUUGGGGUAUCUAGUUUAAAAAAUGUGUGGCGUGACCCGGUCAACCAACCAAGAUGGCCGCCAUGGCUAAAAAUAGAACAUAGGGGAAAAAUGCAGUUUUUGGCUUAUAACUCAAAAACCAAAGUAUUUAGAGCAAAUCUGACAUGGGGUAAAAUUGUUUAUCAGGUCAAGAUCUUUCUGCUCUGAAAUUUUCAGAUGAAUCCGACAACCCGUUGUUGGGUUGCUGCCCCUGAAUUGGUAAUUUUAGGGAUUUUUUGCUGUUUUUGGUUAUUAUCUUGAAUAUUAUUAUAGAUAGAGAUAAACUGUAAACAGCAAUAAUGUUCAGCAAAGUUAGAUUUACAAAUAAGUCAAAUGACCAAAAUGGUCAGUUGACCCCUUCAGGAGUUAUGGACCGUUAUAGUCAAUUUUUAACCGUUUUUCGUAAAUCUUAGAAAUCUUUUACAAAAAUCUUCUCCUCUGAAACUACUGGGCCAAAUUAAUCCAAGCUUGGCCACAAUCAUCUUUAGGGUAUGUAGUUUAAAAAAUGUGUGGCGUGACCCGGCCAACCAACCAAGAUGGCUGCCAUGGCUAAAAAUAGGACAUAGGGGUAAAAUGCUGUUUUUGGCUUAAUAACUCAAAAACAAAGCAUUUAGAGCAAAUCUGACAUGGGGUAAAAUUGUUUAUCAGGUCAA